rnacentral:rRNA from 1 species
UACGUAGGAUGCAAGCGUUGUUCGGAAUUACUGGGCGUAAAGAGUACGUAGGCGGUUUGGUAAGUCUGAUAUUAAAGACCGGAGCUCAACUUCGGGACUGUAUCGGAAACUGUCAGACUAGAGGAUAAUAGAGGAAGUCGGAAUUCUCAGUGUAGCGGUGAAAUGCGUAGAUAUUGGGAAGAACACCAGUGGCGAAAGCGGACUUCUGGGUUAUUACUGACGCUGAGGUACGAAAGCGUGGGGAG